UACAGAGAGAGAGAGAGAGAGAGAGAGAGAGAGAGAGAGAGAGAGACAUGGAGAGAGCAGCACACAGAGAGAUAGAGAAACAGAGAGAGAGAGAGAGAGAGAGUGAAGAGAGAGUGUGUAUGUGAGAGAGAGAGAAGGGGAGACACACACAAAGAGGAAAUGAUACAGAAAAUGAGAGAGACAGAGAAAAAAAAAACAAGGAGAGAGCAGCACAGACAGAGACAGAGAUAGAGAGAGUGAGGAGAGAGAGAGAAAUGGAGAGACACGCACAAAGAGAGAAAGAUACAAAGAGAGAGAGGGACAAAAAAAAGAGACAGAUAGAGAGACAGAGAGAGUGAGGAGAGAGAGAGAAAUAAGGAGAGAUAGGUGUAAAGAGAGAAAAGUGGGGCAAAAAGAGAAAGAAAAACAUAAAGAGAGAGACAUAAAGAAACAGAGAGAAAGAGCGAGAAAGACAUAAAGAGAGAGAGAGAGAGAGAGAGAGAGAGAGAGACCAAGAAACAGAUAGAUAGAGACAGAGAAAAGAAAGUAAGAAACAAUAAGAGAGACAGAAUGAAACAGGGAGAAGGAGAAAGAAGGGAAUACAGUGUACUGUAAUAGAGUGAUGGAAAAGUCUAGAAAGACGCGUGUCUUGUAACACACAGAUCACACUUUAGACUAAAACUUUACAGCGUGACAAAACACAACAAUAUCCGACCCUUCUGGAAACGCAUCAGUGACCGCCCCUUGAACCCCGCCCCUAAAGAAAUCGGCUUUUCCGUCAUCUUUAAACCGGGUACGACCUUUGACCUUUGGCGAUAAUCUGAGUUUCUUUGCCUUAAAUCUGACUCACUAAUCAUUUCCUUAUUGAGCUUUCCUCCCAUUUAUGUGUAGCAAGAGCUAAGAUUGGAAACUGGGAGUCUGUCAAAAGUCAUCCAUCUUCUAGAAUAAUGUGUUUUGGACUGAUCUCGUGGAAAAUGUUCCCUCCACAAAGAGAUGUUUAUUCGUGAGGCCCUGUGGUGCAGAAAACAUGUGUGUGUGGAAAUGAUUAGGAAAAGACAUAGAAUCAGACCGCUUCCAUUUUUCUUUUUCUUUUUCAUAACAGAUUAUUACUGGCAGAGAAACAGAGAGGUUUUCAUCCUCCCUCCACAAACCCAGUCCUACACACGUGGAGUGAACAUGCGCUACGUAUCAGCCAGGGUGGACAACACGAAGACUGAAGACAUUCAAACUCAAUUUUUUGUUUCCACACAUUUCACAUCACCGUACACUUCUUCUGUGUUAAGUCAUUUAGGGUAUCUACUUUGUUUAUAUAAGACAGGGGUGUCCAAACUUUUUUCAAAGAGGGACCAGAUCAGACUCCAUCAAAAUACCGGCGAUAACACUGAAACCGGCAGGUGAAGUGAAUGACAUAUCGUUACAGCGGCACCUGUCGAGGGGUGGGGUGUAUUUAUUUAUUAGGCAGCAAGUGACGUCAGUUCUCAAAGUUGACGUAUUGGAAGCAGGAGAAAUGGGUGAGAAACCUCGUGUCCUGGCAUUCCCGCGGAUGUUACUUUGACGCGUACCACCUACGUAAACAUUGUCUCAGACCAAGUACACUCCUCAUGGUAACGCUAUUCCCUAAUAUCAGUGUCCUCUCUCAGCAGGAUAAUGCGUCCUGACGCACUCCAACAAUAGUUCAGGAACGGUUUGAGGAACAUGAUAAAGAGUUCAAGGUGUUGACUCGACGUCCAGAUUCCCCAGAUCUCGAUCCGACCGAGCGUCCGCGGGACGUUCUGGACGAACACGUCCGAUCCAUGGAGGUCGCACCUCACAACUUACAGGACUUAAAGGAUCUGCUAACAUCUCGGUGCCAGAUCCCACAGCGCACCUUCAGAGGUCGUGUGGAGUCCGUGCCUCGACGGGUCCGAGCACAAGGGGUCCUACAUGAUUUUAGGCAGGUGGUUUUAAUGCUGUGGAUAUUUGGUGUAUAUCUCUUAUAUAGGUAUGCACUUUUAUCCCCUGCACUACAUCAGAACCUUGUUUUAAUAAGAAUCAAUUUCAUCUCUAUGUCUGUACAGAAUAGGUGCUGAUGUGACUGCACUGAAAACCCUUUGGCUGGGUUUGAUCCUCUACAUCUAUAAAAUCAAACACACAGAAGCACACGACGUUGCCGACCACAGCUGCACCAAGUGACUCUGUCGUUGGCUAAGCAGCAUUACACACUGUUGCGUUAGUUUGUUUCUUUGGCGCAAUAUCUUGCCUCACAGCUCUUCUCUCUUUGAUCAAUAGGAUAAAUACUGAGAAUCUGAGACGUUUUGUGGAAAGGUUGUUCUCGGAAAUCUGUUUCUAAGGAAGAAGAACAAAAGGAAAGCGUCAGUGCUGUUAGGUCUGGUUAAAUGGAGGGAAAAUGGAGGGAUGUAUACAAAUCAAAGGAUAGAAAGAUAAAAAUCGCUCCGGUUGCAUGAACCAGAACGAUCCGCUAGCAAAAUACCAACAACGCAUCUAUCCUGGACAUCGUGCAACAUGAAGUCACGGAUCCAUCCAGGCAAUUUGAUCUGAUACCCUAAAAGUUCCAGACCACAGUCUUCAUACAUGCUAUUUGUUUCAAAAGCAGAAAUAAAACGAGGAAUCAAGGUAUCCUGCUAUCCCGGGAACGCUGGGAAUGAGGCGGGAAUAUACCCAGGACGGGACACACAUUCAUACCUAUGGGGGAUUUAGGGUAUCCAAUCCACCUGCAUGUUUUUGACAGUGGUAGGAAACCCAUGCUGACACAGAGAGAAUAUUAACAGAUAGACCCUGGAGCAGUAAUGUUACUGGCUGUACUGGUCUGGAGACAAUUCCCAUUUCCAAUGUCAUUUGGAAAUGCCAAUGGAAUCUCUUGGAUUAACUCCCAAACAGACGCUACAACAGACCAGUGUUUUAUAGAACUCGUGUGAAUAUGCUGAUUAGUUCUAGUUUCUUGCGUCAGUGAAGAAACCGGGCAGUUAUAUUUAUGAAAAUGUCGCUAAUGAGAGAUACGCCACGGGUUAACAGCGUGGGAAAGAUGUGCUGCAGCAUCGCCGGUUUGCAUAUCGCGAGCUCCCAUUGUAUAUUCGUUGCUUUGAUGUUUAAUGACUUUGUUUUUUCAGAAUUACUGUUUAAGAGAAAUGUGUUUUGGGUUGCACGUGACACUGGGAAAACACGUGUAAUCCUUUAUAUUUCUGUGAGGAGAUGUUUAUUUAACAUUCAUCUCUGCUGAAAAACCCCAAUAGAAACCAACACAGAAAUUCUAAUGGUUUCCACUACAAAUAUCAUUACGCACCGUCAGCUAACCAUUAAAACCAUUACCCUUAUCGGUCCUUAAUAGUAUCCACUAGAUCUAAAAUACCACCAAUAGAAGGCAACAGAUUACCAGUAGAGACCCACAAGGACCGUUACAGUUUCCAUUAAAUCUAUACAAUUCUCAUUAUAACCAUUAAAACCAUUACGAUUAUUGGUCCUUAAUAUUAUCCACUAGACCUAAAAUACCACCAAUAGAAGGCAACAGAUUACCAGUAGAGACCUACAUGGACCAUUACAGUUUCCAUUAAAUCUAUACAAUUCUCAUUAUUACCAUUAAAACCAUUACCAUUAUUGGUCCUUAAUGGUAUCCACUAGACCUAAAAUACCACCAAUAGAAGGCAACAGAUUACCAGUAGAGACCCACACGGACCAUUACAGUUUGCAUUAAAACCUAUGCAAUUCUUAUUAUAACCAUUAAAACCAUUACGAUUAUUGGUCCUUAAUGGUAUCCACUAGACCUAAAAUACCACCAAUAGAAGGCAACAGAUUACCAGUAGAGACCCACACGGACCAUUACAGUUUCCAUUAAAACCUAUGCAAUUCUUAUUAUUACCAUUAAAACCAUUACGAUUAUUGGUCCUUAAUGGUAUCCACUAGACCUAAAAUACCACCAAUAGAAGGCAACAGAUUACCAGUAGAGACCCACACGGACCAUUACAGUUUGCAUUAAAACCUAUGCAAUUCUUAUUAUAAC